UGGGGAAUAUUGGGCAAUGGGCGAAAGCCUGACCCAGCGACGCCGCGUGGGUGAUGAAGGCCUUCGGGUUGUAAAGCCCUGUCAUGCGGAAAGAACAGUCUUGUAGUGAAUAACUGCAAGAUUUGACGGUGCCGCAGGAGGAAGCACCGGCUAACUCCGUGCCAGCAGCCGCGGUAAUACGGGGGGUGCAAGCGUUGUUCGGAAUCACUGGGCGUAAAGCGCACGUAGGCGGUGUCGUAAGUCGGAUGUGAAAGCCCACGGCUUAACCGUGGAAGUGCAUUUGAAACUGCCAGACUUGAGUACCAGAGGGGAAAGUGGAAUUCCCGGUGUAGAGGUGAAAUUCGUAGAUAUCGGGAGGAAUACCGGUGGCGAAGGCGACUUUCUGGCUGGAUACUGACGCUGAGGCGCGAAAGCGUGGGGAUCAAACA
rnacentral:rRNA from 1 species